rnacentral:rRNA from 1 species
GGUUAAGCGACUAAGCGUACACGGUGGAUGCCCUGGCAGUCAGAGGCGAUGAAGGACGUGCUAAUCUGCGAUAAGCGUCGGUAAGGUGAUAUGAACCGUUAUAACCGGCGAUUUCCGAAUGGGGAAACCCAGUGUGAUUCGUCACACUAUCAUUAACUGAAUCCAUAGGUUAAUGAGGCGAACCGGGGGAACUGAAACAUCUAAGUACCCCGAGGAAAAGAAAUCAACCGAGAUUCCCCCAGUAGCGGCGAGCGAACGGGGAGCAGCCCAGAGCCUGAAUCAGUGUGUGUGUUAGUGGAAGCGUCUGGAAAGGCGUGCGAUACAGGGUGACAGCCCCGUACACAAAAAUGCACAUGCUGUGAGCUCGAUGAGUAGGGCGGGACACGUGGUAUCCUGUCUGAAUAUGGGGGGACCAUCCUCCAAGGCUAAAUACUCCUGACUGACCGAUAGUGAACCAGUACCGUGAGGGAAAGGCGAAAAGAACCCCGGCGAGGGGAGUGAAAAAGAACCUGAAACCGUGUACGUACAAGCAGUGGGAGCACGCUUAGGCGUGUGACUGCGUACCUUUUGUAUAAUGGGUCAGCGACUUAUAUUCUGUAGCAAGGUUAACCGAAUAGGGGAGCCGAAGGGAAACCGAGUCUUAACUGGGCGUUAAGUUGCAGGGUAUAGACCCGAAACCCGGUGAUCUAGCCAUGGGCAGGUUGAAGGUUGGGUAACACUAACUGGAGGACCGAACCGACUAAUGUUGAAAAAUUAGCGGAUGACUUGUGGCUGGGGGUGAAAGGCCAAUCAAACCGGGAGAUAGCUGGUUCUCCCCGAAAGCUAUUUAGGUAGCGCCUCGUGAAUUCAUCUCCGGGGGUAGAGCACUGUUUCGGCAAGGGGGUCAUCCCGACUUACCAACCCGAUGCAAACUGCGAAUACCGGAGAAUGUUAUCACGGGAGACACACGGCGGGUGCUAACGUCCGUCGUGAAGAGGGAAACAACCCAGACCGCCAGCUAAGGUCCCAAAGUCAUGGUUAAGUGGGAAACGAUGUGGGAAGGCCCAGACAGCCAGGAUGUUGGCUUAGAAGCAGCCAUCAUUUAAAGAAAGCGUAAUAGCUCACUGGUCGAGUCGGCCUGCGCGGAAGAUGUAACGGGGCUAAACCAUGCACCGAAGCUGCGGCAGCGACGCUGAUGCGUUGUUGGGUAGGGGAGCGUUCUGUAAGCCUGUGAAGGUGUACUGUGAGGUAUGCUGGAGGUAUCAGAAGUGCGAAUGCUGACAUAAGUAACGAUAAAGCGGGUGAAAAGCCCGCUCGCCGGAAGACCAAGGGUUCCUGUCCAACGUUAAUCGGGGCAGGGUGAGUCGACCCCUAAGGCGAGGCCGAAAGGCGUAGUCGAUGGGAAACAGGUUAAUAUUCCUGUACUUGGUGUUACUGCGAAGGGGGGACGGAGAAGGCUAUGUUGGCCGGGCGACGGUUGUCCCGGUUUAAGCGUGUAGGCUGGUUUUCCAGGCAAAUCCGGAAAAUCAAGGCUGAGGCGUGAUGACGAGGCACUACGGUGCUGAAGCAACAAAUGCCCUGCUUCCAGGAAAAGCCUCUAAGCAUCAGGUAACAUCAAAUCGUACCCCAAACCGACACAGGUGGUCAGGUAGAGAAUACCAAGGCGCUUGAGAGAACUCGGGUGAAGGAACUAGGCAAAAUGGUGCCGUAACUUCGGGAGAAGGCACGCUGAUAUGUAGGUGAAGUCCCUCGCGGAUGGAGCUGAAAUCAGUCGAAGAUACCAGCUGGCUGCAACUGUUUAUUAAAAACACAGCACUGUGCAAACACGAAAGUGGACGUAUACGGUGUGACGCCUGCCCGGUGCCGGAAGGUUAAUUGAUGGGGUCAGCGCAAGCGAAGCUCUUGAUCGAAGCCCCGGUAAACGGCGGCCGUAACUAUAACGGUCCUAAGGUAGCGAAAUUCCUUGUCGGGUAAGUUCCGACCUGCACGAAUGGCGUAAUGAUGGCCAGGCUGUCUCCACCCGAGACUCAGUGAAAUUGAACUCGCUGUGAAGAUGCAGUGUACCCGCGGCAAGACGGAAAGACCCCGUGAACCUUUACUAUAGCUUGACACUGAACAUUGAGCCUUGAUGUGUAGGAUAGGUGGGAGGCUUUGAAGUGUGGACGCCAGUCUGCAUGGAGCCGACCUUGAAAUACCACCCUUUAAUGUUUGAUGUUCUAACGUUGACCCGUAAUCCGGGUUGCGGACAGUGUCUGGUGGGUAGUUUGACUGGGGCGGUCUCCUCCUAAAGAGUAACGGAGGAGCACGAAGGUUGGCUAAUCCUGGUCGGACAUCAGGAGGUUAGUGCAAUGGCAUAAGCCAGCUUGACUGCGAGCGUGACGGCGCGAGCAGGUGCGAAAGCAGGUCAUAGUGAUCCGGUGGUUCUGAAUGGAAGGGCCAUCGCUCAACGGAUAAAAGGUACUCCGGGGAUAACAGGCUGAUACCGCCCAAGAGUUCAUAUCGACGGCGGUGUUUGGCACCUCGAUGUCGGCUCAUCACAUCCUGGGGCUGAAGUAGGUCCCAAGGGUAUGGCUGUUCGCCAUUUAAAGUGGUACGCGAGCUGGGUUUAGAACGUCGUGAGACAGUUCGGUCCCUAUCUGCCGUGGGCGCUGGAGAACUGAGGGGGGCUGCUCCUAGUACGAGAGGACCGGAGUGGACGCAUCACUGGUGUUCGGGUUGUCAUGCCAAUGGCACUGCCCGGUAGCUAAAUGCGGAAGAGAUAAGUGCUGAAAGCAUCUAAGCACGAAACUUGCCCCGAGAUGAGUUCUCCCUGACUCCUUGAGAGUCCUGAAGGAACGUUGAAGACGACGACGUUGAUAGGCCGGGUGUGUAAGCGCAGCGAUGCGUUGAGCUAACCGGUACUAAUGAACCGUGAGGCUUAACCUU